UUGGUUUGCAGGGCUGAUGGGGGUUCGCGGACGCUGCAAUCAACUGCUGUCCGUUGGGGAGGAACGCCUUUUGAAAAUAGCUCUUUCUUCCACAAGAUGAGCAAUAAGCAUAAAGCAAAUUGCAGCAUUUCGACACACCAAUUGACGGGCGUAAAAGCCACUGACCAACUGAGCCGCCACACUCUAAGGGGGUGUUUCCACUUGGAUUAAAAGUCGCGGAUUAAGGUAUUUUUAAGCCGCGCCAAUCCACCGCUAAUCCGUCGGGGUGUUUCAUACAUCUGGAUUAACAAACGGAUUGAAGUACGACACUUGCUCAUUCCGUGCAUAAAAUACAAAAACGAGUAUUGCCAGACAUAUAAAAUACUAUCGAGUAUCAACAUGAAGGCCUUGUAGCACCUUUGAACGACACCCACGGUGUGGUGGAUAAUGCCGAACAAGAAGCACAAAGCUUCCACAAAACUAGGAACACCUACAGCCUUUAUAAAGGAUAACCUUCCAUCCUAUCACUCAGGCUUUUUAUGAGGCGUCGUGAAAAGUGUUAAUCCGAGAUUGUCAAUUUGAUACCUGGUGGCCACCAGGUAGCAAAAUUUUCGCACCAAGUUUGAGCUUUUAGUAUAGGCAGAAAGCUCGCAUUUCAUAGCAUAUUAAUCUACAAUUAAUCCGCGAAGCGCAUGAAUACGGACGGAAAUCUCUAACUAAUCGCGCCAACCUUAAUCCGCCUAAUCCGUCCUAAUCCGCGCGAUGUUUCCAUAUGCGACGGAUUAAGCCUUAAUCCGC
rnacentral:lncRNA from 1 species